AUGAUAUGCAUUAUCCCUGUCAAUAACCCAUCCCCAUGUGUUACGGUCUUUUUGUACACUGGGUACCGCAGCCCUUUCUUCCGGCAAGCUCUAUUUAGCCGACUGAAUUUCCCUCCCAUUCAUAUUAUAACGAAUAUGACAGGAUUCAGAAUUUUUUCUUUAUGUAAACUGUAUUGUAUAAUUGUUGUGGGCCCCAGUGGUGGCGUAUUUCCAUUUCUUUCCCUCUUCCCCUUUUUACGCCUCAUGCUUUUACAAAUAGACAACUUCUUAAUCUUUCAGUUUGCAGACAGAGACACUGAAAUACACUUGCUUCACCAAGAAAUUGCGGAAUUCAAAGACCAAAUGGCCAUCCUGAGUGCAAGAAACGCACGCCUUCAAGAUACUGUGAAACGCAGAGAGAAAGAAUUUGUUGAAUUAGAGAAUGAAAUGCUAUCUGUGCAAGAGAAAAAAGAAAAAGAUAUGAAGAUAAUUCAAAAGGUACUGUAUUCUUUAUUUAUUUAUUGACAGUGAUGGAUUACCUCGUACAAAGACACUAGAGCCAGGGAGUUAUUCACACACAUAAUGAAAAAGAGCGGCCCUUCCAACUGCCUAGAGACCUUUGAGCUAAUUUUUGCAUAGCUCAUCAGUCCCCUCGGGGAGAUAGGUGCAGGUAUAUAAAUAAAGUUGUUGUUGUUAUUAUUAUUAUUAUUAUUAUUAUUAUUAUUAUUAUUAUUAUUUUAUUAUGACACAGCAAACAAGAUAGAUAUGCUGGAUUUCAUAUCACAAAAUCACAAGUCGAACACUUCCCAGGUGUCUAGGACUGUGGGAUGUAUUUUCGGAUGAUGCGUGCAGAUCCCAGUAGGGUGGCCUUUUGCAGUUGGCAGAUCGUAAUUUUGUCAAUGUCUAUUGUUUCCAAAUGCCGGCUGAGAUCUUUUGGCACGGCACCCAGUAUGCCCAUCACCACCGGGACGACCUGCACUGGUUUCUGCCAGAGUCUUUGAAGUUCAAUCUUGAGGUCCUGAUAGCGGCUGAGUUUUUCCUGUUGUUUUUCGUCAAUGCGACUGUCACCUGGGAUGGCGACAUCAAUGAUCCAAAUCUUUUUCUUUUCCACAACUGUGAUGUCUGGUGUGUUGUGUUCCAGAACUUUGUCAGGGUUGACAAAUAAUAAUAAUAAUAAUAAUAUAAUAAUAAUAAUAAUAAUAAUAAUAAUUGUUAUUAUUAUUAUUAUUAUUAUUAUUAUUAUUAUUAUUAUUAUUAUUAUUUCUACACAGUUUGGACAAGUUGAUAUUCUCCAAUUUAAAAAGAUAU
rnacentral:lncRNA from 1 species